GCGGUGUGGUGGCCUUUCUGAGCUUUUUAAAGAGUUUGCUGGAUUUUUGAAGCUUUUCCAAAACUUCUUCUACAGCUGUUUGGUAAGUUGAACUUUUAAAACUUUUUUGGGUUUUUGGGAUUUUGGGUUGGGGUGUUUAGAAUUCAAGGACUUGGUGUUGGGGAGAGGUUUGCAAGAAUCUGGGAGCUUGUGUGGUUUUUUUCUGCAUUUUUAUGAUUUUCUGUGACCAUUGGGCCAUGUUUAUUUUUUUUUUAAAAAAAAAUCUGGCUUUGAAUUUUUGAAUUUCUGUGUGCUGGGUGGAUGGGGGAACAGCUGGGGAGGUGUUUGCAAGAAUCUGGGAGCUUGUGUGCUUUUUUUUGAAUUUUUAUGAUUUUUUGUGACCAGUGGGCCAUGUUGUUUUUUUUUGAAAAAAGUUUCUGGGUUUUAAAUUUCUGUGUGCUGGGUGGAUGGGGGAACAGCUGGGGAGGUGUUUGCAAGAAUCUGGGAGCUUGUGUGCUUUUUUUUGAAUUUUUAUGAUUUUUUGUGACCAUUGGGCCAUUUUUUUUUUUUUUGAAAAUAGUUUCUUUGUUUUUAAUUUCUGUGUGCUGGGUGGAUGGGGGAACAGCUGGGGAGGUGUUUGCAAGAAUCUGGGAGCUUGUGUGCUUUUUUUUGAAUUUUUAUGAUUUUUUGUGACCAUUGGGCCAUGUUGUUGUUUUUUGAAAAAAGUUUCUGGGUUUUAAAUUUCUGUGUGCUGGGUGGAUGGGGGAACAGCUGGGGAGGUGUUUGCAAGAAUCUGGGAGCUUGUGUGCUUUUUUUUGAAUUUUUAUGGUUUUCUGUGACCAUUGGGCCAUGUUGUUGUUUUUUGAAAAAAGUUUCUGGGUUUUAAAUUUCUGUGUGCUGGGUGGAUGGGGGAACAGCUGGGGAGGUGUUUGCAAGAAUCUGGGAGCUUGUGUGCUUUUUUUUGAAUUUUUAUGGUUUUCUGUGACCAUUGGGCCAUGUUGUUGUUUUUUGAAAAAAGUUUCUGGGUUUUAAAUUUCUGUGUGCUGGGUGGAUGGGGGAACAGCUGGGGAGGUGUUUGCAAGAAUCUGGGAGCUUGU